UUUUAUGAAAAUAUUAAUUUUUUUUAGAGAGAAAAUAGCAUACAUUAAGUUCAUUUAAUUUUUAAAAAAUAAUUUUAAUUUAAAAUAUAAAAUAAUUAAAAUUUAGAUACCAAUCAUUAGAUUUUUGCCAUUUACGUCACGGAUGGUCAAUAAAAUAUUAACCUUUCAUUGGCAUCCUCCAGCUCCAAAUUGGCAACUUGUAUUGAACAGCUAACAGAUUCACUGGUUCUCGCUUAAAUUAAAAUUAAAUUAUCCGGUCAAAAUCUAAGCCGAAAAGUAUAUAAUUAUCGUAUACAAAUAUUUUAUUUGAUGCUAACUUAUAUAUGCGAGACAUUGCUAGACCUUCCCUUUUGAUUUACCCAACGGGCAUAGAAACGCAAAAUAUGUUACGGUCAACUGCAGCUUAAGGCCAAGUUAAGCAAAAUUGCGGUAAUGUCACCGUCAAAUUAGGAUUUGCACUUGGAUCCUAAAAACCAUAUUUGUCGACGAAAGAAAAUAAUGCUUUGCUAAAAAUUUUGAAAUUAACAUAUUCUCAACCUGCUCAGAUAAAAUAAUUUAAAAACUUAAAUAGCCAACUCAAAUAAUUCAUUAUUCAGACAAAUUUAACUACGUCGAUUUUAAACGAAGAACAUUUGACUCUUUUUCUAUGCAUCUUUUCAUAA
rnacentral:lncRNA from 1 species